rnacentral:rRNA from 1 species
UACAGAAGCCUCAAGCGUUACCCGGAUUUAUUGGGCGUAAAGGAUGCGUAGGCGGUUAUAUUAGUCUUGUGUUAAAACUUUGGGCUUAACCUAAAGAUCGCACAGGAAACGGUAUAACUAGAAGAAGUGAGAGGUGAACAGAACUCUCGGUGUAGGGGUGAAAUCCGUUGAUAUCGAGGGGAAUACCAAAUGCGAAGGCAGUUCACUGGCACUUUCUUGACGCUGAGGCAUGAAAGCGUGGGUAGCGAAUCGG